rnacentral:rRNA from 1 species
GUAGGUGGCAAGCGUUAUCCGGAUUUAUUGGGCGUAAAGCGAGCGCAGGCGGUCUUUUAAGUCUAAUGUGAAAGCCUUCGGCUCAACCGAAGAAGUGCAUUGGAAACUGGGAGACUUGAGUGCAGAAGAGGACAGUGGAACUCCAUGUGUAGCGGUGAAAUGCGUAGAUAUAUGGAAGAACACCAGUGGCGAAGGCGGCUGUCUGGUCUGUAACUGGCGCUGAGGCUCGAAAGCAUGGGUAGCGAACAGGAUUAGAUACCCUGGUAGUCCAUGCCGUAAACGAUGAUUACUAAGUGGUUGGAGGGUUUCCGCCCUUCAGUGCUGCAGCUAACGCAUUAAGUAAUCCGCCUGGGGAGUACGACCGCAAAGUUG